AGUAGCGUGUCAGUGCGCAGGGGAGUGGCUCUGAGCUCCGUUUGUUAAAGACAUGCUGUAACAUUUGAUCCUCAGAGGGUUUCUGCAGACAUGGAGCUUCUUCCACUUCUGUUUCUGAGGUUCUGUUUCCUGACUUUGACCGGACUGACAUUUGCAGCUGACUCCGGGACACCUGUGACCAGAGUGACGGUGAAAGAAGAUGAUGGUGUCAUUUUACCCUGCUCCCUCAGCACCAAUGAGAACAUUGAGUCAAUGCUGUUUGACUGGAAGAAAGAAGGAACAGUUCCACAAAAGAAUGUGUUCCUGUAUGAUGAUGGCAAAUAUUACAAUAAUGGCCUCUCAGGUCAAGAUGAGGAGUUCAAAGAUCGGGUCUCACAUUUUCCAGAAGAGUUAAAGCAUGGCAACGCGUCUAUAAGAAUAAAAAAAACUAGGCUGGAAGACAACGGAACCUAUUUAUGUAAAUUUCCAAAACUGAAGCCAGAAAUCAGAACAUUCCACAUUGAGCUUGUUGUUGGUGAGUGCUGUUAUAAAACAGCUGAUUAUUUACAGAUGAAACGGUCAGCAUGCACAUCUGGCAGGGCCUCACUCCUACAGCACACCUGCAUUAAUAUUCAGUGAACAAAACUGAGACCUUCCAUGUGCAUGCUGGUCCUGCACCUGUCUACUUAUCAUAAAUCUGAGGUGUCCAUGGAGUCUUUAGUAAACAAAAUAAAAUAAAUAAUUGUUCACUUCUCCCGAAAUAUCAGACACACAACUGUUCAAAGUGUUUUCUGACUGUGUGAUUAUAACACAUUCAUGACAAUAAACUAGCCUUCUCUUUUACUUUAGGAUUAUAAAAACUGUCUAAUAUAGCAAGUUAACAUGUCUGGGUUUCUUUUCUCUAGUUUUAUUUAACUGCCAAGUUGAUGAGACCACAGUCACCUCUAACAUGUGUGUUUUUUUCCCUUUCAGAGCCCGUAUUAACUUGUUAGAGCCUCUCACAGUCAUGUGCAAUUCUGCAUGUCUGUAACUAUAAGGCUAAACUUUGUAAUAAUUUCCAAACCAUAAAUAUCUGAUACCUGCCUGUUUGAUCACUGUGAAAUAAAAUCUGUGAUAUUUAAUGCAGUCUGUUAGUUUUACCUUUAGCUCUAACACAGAUAAUUAGUUUGAGGAUUAUGCAGGAAAUGACUGAAGCCUUGAUGUUCUCAGGCUUUUACUUCAUAUAUUAAAUACACUUAAUCAGUCAUUAUAAGGGCUACAAUGCUGAAAUUUACAGGAUAUCAUCUUCAUUUUGGCUACAAUAAAUGUGCCAAGUUUCAUUCUGAUAUUUAAAAGUGGCUCUACAACACUGCAGAAAUUAAUUGAAAGGGCAAAGUAGAGGAUCCCUGAAAACUUACUUCAGAAGUUCCACAAAAAUUUCUCCAAACUUAACAAAUAAUGAGAAUUCAUUCUGGUGUUUUACAUUUCAAAUAUUCCUAAAUGCUAAACUUAACUUCAAAGCGAUUUCCUUAAUAAUUGAAAUAAAAAUCUGCUGAUUUAUUAUAAUUAAUCGGGUCUUUUUCGACAGAUAAAACACUUUUCUUUGAUUUGUUUCUGUUCCAUUGUUACAGCGAGGCUAACUUAAUUAACUUCCAUAUAUGGUCAGAGAGGUGAUUUUACCGGCUUCAAAAGCAGAGUGGUUUCACUGCGGUGACUUUCUCUUGGAUGACAGUAGCUGUCAAUCAAACACCCACGUGGAUGGCAUAAAGAUGCUCUGUUGUGAUUGGCUGAAAGGAUUAACAGCUUUUUGCGUGCAUCAUUUUACGUCGGAUAAGGAUGCGAAUUGGUUAAUUUUACCCGUGGAUGCUUUCAGAUUCCAGCGAUAACCAAGAUGAUUGGUUAAUUUAUUUAUUAAUACUUUUGUUAUUGUUCUUUCAAAAGUUUAGGUAGCUCAGACAAAGUUUACUUGGAGAAUACUUUCUUUUUUCCCGUUAGUUUUUUUUCUGCCAGUCGAACUCAAGCAAGCUGAAAUUAAUCUGUGAAGUUUGUUCUCUUUAAAACGAGCCGCUGUUUGUCUUCAAAAGUCUGUUUUUGGGCCAAUGAACGACUUGUUAACUGUGAUGCAUCAGGCUAGGAGUAAGAUUAAUACCUUUUUACUGCCGUAAAUUAACACGUUACUGCUUUUAUGUCGUAAAUACUUCACUGAGAUGAACGAAUCUGCUGAAAAAUGAGCAUCUGCGCUUUGAAAUGACGUAUAAAAUGUCUGUAUCGAUGUUUCCGGUCAAAGUCAAAAUACAGAGUAUGUUUAUUUAUUAUUUUUGACAUGUAAACUUGGGUCGCAUACAACCUCUGCGUUUCAAAAGGUUAAAGGUCCGAAUUAACGGUGCAGCAGAGCCUUUUGUUACAAUUCUCAAUCACACAAACAAUUGGGCGCUCCUUAAGUGUGAUGUUAAGGGUGCUUCCCCCAAACCUACGGUCGAGUGGUGGGACAGUAACAAUCAGACCAUUCCUUCUGAUCAGCCACAUGUCUCUGAAAUAGGAAACCGCUUCUACAUCAGCCUCAAUACUACUGUGAAAAAGGAUGACCACUAUCGCUGUGUUGUCAAACAGGAGAAAAUCCACCAUCAAACACAUACGGAAAUCUAUAUCCGUUUGAAUGAACAAAACACUGGAUGGAUGAUUGUGGCUGGUAUUCUUGCUGUUGCUCUUGCUGUUGCGCUUGUUGUAGUUGGGAUUCUUACCUGGCGUUUAAGACAAAACGAAACACAAUAAACACAACAAGGAGGAUCCAUCUGAGCCCUCAGCCAAGGAAUGGAAAAUCAAUGCUUAAUUAAGUGAGCCCAUGUGAAGUAUGGUAUAUGGUGUUUGUGUGUUUGUUUUAUGAGAACCAAAUUAAGUUUUGGAGCACAACAGUAAGGACAUGUUCGAUUAUUUUUGUUUUUUAAGCACUUUGAAAGUUCAUAACAAUGUUGAAUCCUGUUGUUUAGCAGAUGAUUAAAAGUAAGGGUGGAGGGAUGUAGUUCCUGUUGCAUUUGAGGGCUACCAGCUAGAUAUAGUUGGGCUCACCUCAGUGCAUGGCUUGGGCUCUGGAACUAGUCUCCUGGAGAGGGGCUGGACUCUGUCUCAGUCUGGAGUUGCCCUUAGUGGGAGGCGGAGGGCUGGGAUGGGUAUCCUAGUAUUCCCUUUGCUUGCUGCCUGUACGUUAGGGUUUCCCCCGGUGGGCAAGAAGGUUUGUUCCCUCCGCCUUUGGGUCAGGGAAUGGGUCCUGACUGUCAUAUGUGCUUAUGUGCCGAAUAGCAGUUCAGAGUACCCAGCCUUCUUGGAUUGCCUGGGUGAGGUGCCUGAGGGUGCUCCACCUAGGGACUCUGUUGUCCUACUGGGAGACUUCAGCGCUGAUGUAGGCAACGACAGGGAGACCUGGAGGGGCGUGACUGGGAGGAACAGCCUCCCAGAUAUGAACCAGUGUUUUGUAACUGGACUUCUGUGCAAACCUCAAUUUGUCCAUAACGAACACCAUGUUCAAACAUAAGGGUCUCCAUAAGUGCAUGUGGCACUGGGACCCCCUAGGCCACAGGUCGAUGAUCAAUUUUGAAAUUGUAUCACCAGACCUACGGGCAUAUAUUCUGGACACUUAGGUGAAGAGAGGGGCUGAGCUGUCAACUAAUCACCACCUGGCGCACCUAAACGUAUACUGAGAGUGCCCUCAGAACGCCUGGCAGAGGCCCUGGUCCACAAGAUCUUCAACUCACACCUCUGGCAGAGCUUCAACAGCAUUCCAAGGGAGACUGGGGACCAGUGUUGGUAAAGUUACUUGAAAAAAGUAAUUAGUUACUAGUUACUGAUUACUUCUCCAAGAAAGUAAUCCUGUUACUUUACUGAUUACUUAUUUUCAAAAGUAAUUAGUUACUUUAUUACUUUGUCACAUAGUUACUUUUUUAUUACAUGAUACACAACCUGAAUACGUAAUAAAGCAAUAGACCUUUCAGCCCAGUUCUAUUUUUCUCUUUUAAAAAUUGUUUUAUUAGUUUUAAUCUUUUAACCUUAUGCAUAUUGCAUCAAGCAAAAAGUAAAUUAUAUGCAACGGGUAAACCCUAUUUUCUGCACAUUCCAGCACAUAAAAUAAAAUAAUUUUUUGUGUUUACACUCACUCUUUCAAAUAGAUGCAAGUAAAACAGAGAGAAAAAAAUAAAAUCAAAGACUCAGGGGCUUUCGCUCUUAAGUCCUGUUGCUCUUAAAUCUUUUUUUUAUCAUUUUAGCAGGAGUGGGGCGGGCGGAGGUUUGCCCGGUGCCAUAACGGUCAUGUCAGUGGAGGAUCCGGGGGUUUCUCUGUGAAUUUCACAUUCCUGUGGCAGUGUGCUAGGAACUUGCUCAGAAGUUUAGGCUGUUUUCUAGCUGCAAGAAGAAGUUUUCGUCCCACGCAGAGUGUACAGUGGACACUACUGUUUUUGUCACUUUUUACGGAAUCAAACUCAAAGUAAGGUCAGUACUUCCACGCUUUAAACGCUACAUGGAAGCGCUCCAUAUUAUCCUUUGUUGAUCUGCUGUCUGUUACUACAGACGUGGCACCCGCUUACAUCAUGGCCAUGAGACACUCUCGCAAACAAAAUCAUGGUUUAUUAACGCAGCGUGCUUACGGGAAAGUAACAGUAAUCUAAUUACUUUUUUGCAAUAGUAAUCCCUUACUUUACUCAUUACUUGAAAAAGUAAUCAGAUUACAAACGCAUUACUGCCCAUCUCUGCUGGGGACAUUGAGUCAGAAUGGACAAUGUUUAGCACCUCUAUUACUGAAGCUGCUGCACUGAGCUGCGGCCGCAAGGUGGUUGGUAACCCCUGAACCAAAAGGUGGACACCAGAGGUGAAGGGAGCCACCAGGCUGAAGGAGUCCCAAAGGCUUGGUUAGCCUAUGGGACUUCUGAGGCAUCUGAUAGGUACCGACAGGCCAAGCAGAAUGCGGCUCAGGCAGUGGCUGAAUCAAAAACUCAGGUGUGGGAGGAGUUCGACUCGUCCAUUUCUGGGGGUGAGUUCACUGAGGCAGUUAAACAACUCCUAGGUGGCAGGGCCGCUGGGGUGGAUGAGGUUCGCCUUGAAUCCCUGAAGGCUCUGGAUGUUGUAGGGCUAUCUUGUCUUGACAUGCCUCUACAAUGUUGUGUGGUGAUUAGGGGCAGUACCCCUGGAUUGGCAGACGGGAGGGUGUUUCCCAACUAUAGGAGAAUCACACUCCUCAGCCUCCCUGGGAAAGUCUAUGCCAGGGUGCUAGAAAGGAGAAAUUACUGCUGUUGUUAUUCCAUGAGAGAUCUGAGGUCAUCAACCUUUAGAGAAAUGUCUUUACCUUCUCUUUUUCUUGAUGCAUAAAAUGUUACUAAUAAAGAAAGCUACUUUCCGUUGCCACAGCAGAUAGCACCACAUGUUUGAUGCUUCUUUUAAAGGGUUACUAACCAAACCAAAGAGGAUUUGUGUUUCUGGCUGCAGUAUUUUUCCAAGAUUAGUGUAUGGAUAUUUUUUCCCUUUCACUCAUAUUUCAGUAAAUAUUUAAAUAACAUUUGAAAGGAAAUUUGUCUGAUAACAGCAGGUUUUUCAAGCAUCUGUCUCAAGUUAAUUCUUUGUUAAAGAAUGCAGAAAAAAGUUUUUCUUUUGUUUUCUAACUAUAAAGAUACAUCAACUAUACAUACAUCAACUAUAACUCUGAGCUGUUCUGCUAUAAAUAAAUGUAAAGCAAACUCUCAGGAUACACACACUGAAUUAAAUGUUGUUAAUAAUGUCUGAUAUUGGAAUUGCUCUGAAAUUAUUUUAUGGUUAUAAUUUUUCACAGUGCUCAAGGAUUUCUAAAUAAAAUAUCAAAAUGGCAAACUA